rnacentral:rRNA from 1 species
AACGAACGCUGGCGGCAUGCCUAACACAUGCAAGUCGAACGAGACCUUCGGGUCUAGUGGCGCCCGGGUGCGUAACGCGUGGGAACCUGCACUUAGGUUCGGAAUAACUCCCCGAAAGGGGUGCUAAUACCGGAUAAUGUCUUCGGACCAAAGAUUUAUCGCCUUUGGAUGGGCCCGCGUUGGAUUAGCUAGUUGGUAGGGUAAAAGCCUACCAAGGCGACGAUCCAUAGCUGGUCUGAGAGCAUGAUCAGCCACACUGGGACUGAGACACGGCCCAGACUCCUACGCGAGGCAGCAGAGGCGAAUAUAGGACAAUGGGCGAAAGCCUGAUCCAGCAAGGCCGCGUGAGUGAUGAAGUCCGUAGGGUUGUAAAGCGCUUUUAACCGGGAUGAUAAUGACAGUACCGGGAGAAUAAGCUCCGGCUAACUACGUG